rnacentral:rRNA from 1 species
UACGUAGGGGGCAAGCGUUGUCCGGAAUUAUUGGGCGUAAAGAGCGUGUAGGCGGUCCGGUAAGUCAGCUGUGAAAGUCAAGGGCUCAACCCUUGAAAGCCGGUUGAUACUGUCGGGCUAGAGUCCGGAAGAGGCGAGUGGAAUUCCCGGUGUAGCGGUGAAAUGCGUAGAUAUCGGAAGGAACAUCAGUGGCGAAGGCGGCUAUCUGGACAACAACUGACACUGAGGCACGAAAGCGUGGGGAGCAAACAGG